GGCUUGUUGGCGUAAUGGUAACACAUUCUGUGUACCUUAUGGAACAUUGUUCGACGGCAAGUCCGGAGUUCAAUUCUCCGUCAAGCCA